GGCUGGCUAGCUCAGCUGGUUAGAGCGUGGUGCUAAUAACACCAAGGUCAUGGGUUCAAGCCCUAUGCUGGCCA
rnacentral:tRNA from 1 species